AAGACUAUAGACCUGCGGAGUACCUGCGGAAGGAUCAUUAAUGAACGAUCAUCUUUGAUCUUCUACCCCUCAACCCCUGUGGAAGCAAGUUUGUGCUUCGGCGUGGUGGGCUUUGGCCCCUCGGCGCCGCCUUUAUGCCUCAAGCCGUUUUUGUCAGUAGAUUUGAAUUUCAAAACUUUCAGCAAUGGAUCUCU
rnacentral:misc_RNA from 1 species